rnacentral:rRNA from 1 species
CCCGAAAGAUCGAAUGAGGAGAUUCAUCGUCAGUAUGAAUAGUUUCCCAUGCGUUUUGUGAUGACACGCAUUCGCUGUGGUAUAUCUAUUUAUAUCGGCGUGCACUUCUCCUCUAGUAGAACGUUGCGACCCGCUGAGCGUUUGGCUUAAGGACCAAAUUGUAGACUGUUUUCGUUCGUUUAUUCGUUCUGUUAAUAGACAUUUGGAUUUCUGGCUAACAGUUUGGCGGUAUUAUAUAUGGUAUUGAGCCGCAAAUAGAAUGCGUUCAGACUCGUUUACAAGCUAAUCAUUUAAUAACUCUAAGGGUGCGGAUUUAAUGCCGUCCUUGAGGAUGAAUGGCUGUUAGUUAACGAUGUUCUCGAACUGGCUUAAUACCGGUCAGCGACGCUAUUGCUUUGGGUACUUUCAGGACCCGUCUUGAAACACGGACCAAGGAGUCUAACAUGUGCGCAGUCAUUGGGAUAUAUUAAACCUAAAGGCGCAUUGAAAGAAAAGAUUGAUUUUGUGUCGAUUUAGGGAGGAUAGGCAAUAUUUAUAUUAUAUUGUUUCGCACUCCCAGGGUGUCUCUUAAAGUCAUUACGACUUGAGGCGCACCCAGAGCGUACACGUUGGGACCCGAAGAUGGUGAACUAUGCCUGGUCAGGAUG